GCUAGGAUAGCUCAGUCAGUAGAGCCUAAGCCUCUUAAUUUCAGGGUCGUGGGUUUGAGCCCCACGUUGGGCA